CCCUGCCAUUUGUACACACCGCCCGUCGCACCUACCGAUUGAAUGGUCCGGUGAAACCUCCGGAUCGAUGUCGCAUCCUUCACGGGCUGCGCGUCGAGAAGUUGGUUAAACCUUACCAUUUAGAGGAAGGUGAA
rnacentral:rRNA from 1 species